CAGGUUCCUGUUUCAGUGUCAAGUGCACAAUACUGCAGCCUACAACAAGCUGGAGUUAACAAGCAACGUGUUGCUUUAGCAAAGCUCUUCUUUAAACUUCAUCAUAGAAAUAGAUUGUUAUUUUAGGAUUAGGACUGUU